AUAUGUGUACCAGUAUGCAAUCUGUAGAAUAUCAUAAUGAUCUUAAAGUUUGGAAUAAGUAAUGGAUGAUGAAUUGUUUCAUUCAUUGUUUUUUGGACAUGGUUGUGCCUUUUGCUUUUUCUUCUCAAUCUAUAUUGUGGUUAUCAGAUGUAUUGUUUAAUGGUACUUUUAUUGUGUUUAUAAUGCUUACUUGCUAUUCUUAAAUUUUAUU
rnacentral:lncRNA from 1 species